GUUUAGCCCCGAUAGAAGCGGUAUCCUUUUUCUGGCUUCUUUAGCCAGGAAAAGAUAUAGCGGAUAGCGGGACUGAAG
rnacentral:sRNA from 1 species